rnacentral:misc_RNA from 1 species
AAAGUCGUAACAAGGUAACCGUAGGUGAACCUGCGGUUGGAUCAUUACCGAUCUGUGCCCUGCCAAAGGGCCGAUUGACACCAACUACUUACAAUUUUGACUGAUUUCAUCGCGUUUACGUGAUAACCGAAAACAACUUUCGACAAUGGAUCUCUUGGCUCUC